rnacentral:snRNA from 1 species
AUACUCUGGUUUCUCUUCAGAUCGUAUAAAUCUUUCGCCUUUUACUAAAGAUUUCCGUGGAGAGGAGCAAGCACGAGUGUCGUGGAAUUUUUUGAGGCUCCGCUUCGGCGGAGCU